UGGGCUGUCGCCAAAUGGCAAGGCACUGGACUCUGACUCCAGCAUUUGAAGGUUCGAAUCCUUCCAGCCCAGCUA
rnacentral:tRNA from 1 species